UAAAUAUUUUAAUGGGGGUUAAAGUAUUAUAUAAAGAAAAAAUUUUUAAAUUUAUAGUUAAUUAGUAUUGUGAAAGAAUUUUGAAAUAUUAUGAAAAUUAAAAUUUUAAUAAAGUAAUUUUUAUUUAUUGUAUCUUGUGUAUCAGAGUUUAUUAAAAAUUUUUAAUUUAUAAAUUAAUUUCUCGAAUUUAAAAGAGUUAAAUAAUUAUUAAAGUUAUUGUAGCAAAAUUAUUUUAAAUAAUUAUUUAGAAAUGAAAUGUUAAUCGUUUUUAAAUAUAUCUAGUUUUUACAGAAAAAAAUUUAAUUUUAAAUUUUUAUAUUAUUUAAUUAAUUUAUUAAUUAAAUAAUUAUAAAAAUUUUAUAAUUUAAGGGAUAAGCUUUAAAUUAGAUUUUUAUAAUAUUAAAUUUUUAUUUUGAAAAUUUUAUAAUUUAUAUUGUUAAUAAAUUUUAUUUUAUUAUAAAUAAUUUCAUUUUUUUUAAAAUUUAAAUUUUAUUUAAUUUUUUAUAUAAAAUUUAUUUAUAAUUAUAUAAAUUUAAUUAUAAUGAUAAAAUUAGUAUAUUAUUUAAUAUAAAAUUAAAAUUAAUUUUUAAUUAAUAAUUAAAUUAAUUAAAAGGAAUUCGGCAAAUAUUUAUUUUCACUUGUUUAUCAAAAACAUGUCUUUUUGUUUUUAAUUUAAAGUCUAAUCUGCCCACUGAUUUAAAAAAAUUGAAGGGCUGCAGUAUAUUGACUGUACAAAGGUAGCAUAAUCAUUAGUCUCUUAAUUGGUGACUUGUAUGAAAGAUUGGAUGAAAAAUAUACUGUCUCUUAAUUAAUAUGUAGAAUUUAAUUUUUUAUUUAAAAAGUUAAAAUAAUUUAAAAAGACGAGAAGACCCUAUAGAGUUUAAUAAGUUUUUUUGUAAGAGUUUUAUUUAUAAUUAUUAAUAAUUUUAUAAAUUUUUUUAUUUUAUUGGGGUGAUAAAAAAAUAAAUUUAACUUUUUUAAAUAAUUUACAUAAAUAAAUGAUUAAU
rnacentral:rRNA from 1 species